rnacentral:rRNA from 1 species
GAGUGAACGCUGGCGGUAGGCCUAACACAUGCAAGUCGAACGGCAGCACAGUAAGAGCUUGCUCUUACGGGUGGCGAGUGGCGGACGGGUGAGGAAUACAUCGGAAUCUACUUUUUCGUGGGGGAUAACGUAGGGAAACUUACGCUAAUACCGCAUACGACCUACGGGUGAAAGCAGGGGAUCUUCGGACCUUGCGCGAUUGAAUGAGCCGAUGUCGGAUUAGCUAGUUGGCGGGGUAAAGGCCCACCAAGGCGACGAUCCGUAGCUGGUCUGAGAGGAUGAUCAGCCACACUGGAACUGAGACACGGUCCAGACUCCUACGGAGGCAGCAGUGGGGAAUAUUGGACAAUGGGCGCAAGCCUGAUCCAGCCAUACCGCGUGGGUGAAGAAGGCCUUCGGGUUGUAAAGCCCUUUUGUUGGGAAAGAAAAGCAGCAGGUUAAUACCCCGCUGUUCUGACGGUACCCAAAGAAUAAGCACCGGCUAACUUCGUG